UUCAGGUCAGGAUGCUGCCUUGAGCUGUGGCUUGCUUCCGCACCAGCCAAGAAGCUUCUCCUUGCUCUUCUCCACUGCUCAUGUUCCCUGAGCUGCCCUGGUGAUAGGUGGUUUCUUGCACAGCUCCUGAUAGAAUUCAGAUUCCAAGAACCGUGGAUAUGAGUUAUUCUCCAUCAAGCUGUAAACUCUCUUCUGUGCUGCACUGAAGCAGAACUCAGACUUCAGAAAAGCUCGGAAAGCAGCAAGACCAUCUAGGGAAAGAGUAAAAAAAAAAACACCACACAUCAACUUACUAUUUCAGGAAUCUUAAAUUUACCCACUGGUCACAUCUGUUUCUACCCAAACAUUCUGCUGUAAUUCUGGUCUGGUUCUUUCAGGGAUAGCAGAGCAGUAACAAAUUCUGAGCUUAUGCAUGCAGACAAAUUAACACUCUAACAGCCUGGCAGGCUUCACUUGGAGUUAAUAUUUUUUUUUUGCUAAACACAAAAUGAAAGCUGUUUCUAGUCAAUGUCCCCUUUUGUCUUGUCUGCAUAUACAUGUUUAAUAAAAACUCUCUUUAGAUGGGA